AGUGAGUCAGUCAGAAAGACAUCCUGUACAUACCACUAAUACAACAUAACUGUAACACACACAGAAAGACAGGUCAAAAAGAGACAGUGAGUCAGUCAGAAAGACUUCCUGUACAUACCACUAAUACAACAUAACUGUAACACACACAGAAAGACAGGUCAAAAAGAGGAGGUGAGUCAGUCAGAAAGACAUCCUGUACAUACCACUAAUACAACAUAACUGUAACACACACAGAAAGACAUCCUGUACAUACCACUAAUACAACAUAACUGUAACACACACAGAAAGACAGGUCAAAAAGAGGAGGUGAGUCAGUCAGAAAGACAUCCUGUACAUACCACUAAUACAACAUAACUGUAACACACACAGAAAGACAGGUC